ACUGAAGGAAAAAGAAACCCAAGCGAGAGAGUGGGUCAGGGAGGAGUGCACAGAAGCGGAGACGGCAAAUCCCCCAGUGUGAGGUCGCAGGGAAAACGCGAAGGUUAAAGAUGCUUCGGCACAAACACAUGAAAGUACCGAUAAACUCCCAGGCUGGCGCCUCGAUGCUCCAAACGUGCCGCGUGCCGUGUGCCUGCUCGACUCUGUCAGCUACAGCACUUGACACAAGCAUCUCCUCUGAUACAGACCGAGACAGAACUCAUAGGCCAACAGAGGUCAAGGCCUCACUCUCCUCUCAUAAAAAUCUCUCCAUUCCAGCACCUCCCGAUCGGCCCAUCACUCCGCAAGAUUUUGUCGCAAUAAGCAAAUACGACCGAAAACCAUCGCUACCUGCUGGGACUGCUGCACUCGUCGAUUUGGUGGCCGUGAGCCAAAUGGGACUAGGUGAGACAAAAAAUAAUUGAAAGUAAUUUAAUGAAAAUUUCGAGUUGUCAGCUUCACCAGCCACGCAACAACUACAUGUGGCUACCAUACUGGAGUGCACAAAUAUAGAAUAUUUCUCUGGUCGAUGAAAGUUCUACCGGACAGCACUUUGCCAGAGUAUUUUCGUGCACGUACUUAUGCAACAGGGUCACUCAGAAAUACCAUCCCAAACCACCAGCACUGCUAGUAAAACUGCAGUGCGUAUUUCCCGAGACCGUACUUGGUGGCAGGUGCCGUGAAAGGGAUCUAUAUAAAUUAUCCCCUUUAAUCCUAAUAACUACCCUAGAAAGUAAAAAUUGCUAUGAUUGGACUUUAUAACUAAUGCUUAGAAAGGCUGGGGUGCCUGGGCGGCUCAGUCAGUUAAGGACCCGAAUCUUGAUUUCAGCUCAAGUCAUGACCUCACGGCUUCUUCGUGGGUUCAGACCCGGCAUCGGGCUCUGUGGUGGCAGCGUGGAGCCCGCCUGGGAUUCUCUCUCUCCCUCUCUCCCCCACUGUGCCGUCUCUGUCUCUCUCAAAAUAAAUAAAAGACUUGACCACGUUCUAGACAAUAUCACAUAAGACUGAACCCUGUGUGAGGCAGAACUGUGACCCCAUGACCUUCGCCCCUGGUUCCACACCCAUAAGGUUAUGCUUCGUCAGACGGCAAAGGGAUGCUGCAGACAUAAUUAAGGUUACUCAUCAGUGGGUCUUAAAACAGGAAGGCUAGCCUGGAUCAUCCAGGUGAGUCCAAUGUAAAAUCGCACGAGCAUUUAAAGGCAGAGGAAGUCAGAGAGCUGAGGCAUAAGAAGACCGUGCUCUCGCUGGCUUGCAGAUGAAGGGGCUGGGAGCACAUGGCAAAGAAACACGGACCUCAGUCCUACAGCUGCAAGGAACUGAAUUCUGCCAGCAAGUGGAAUGAGCUUAGAAGCGGACUCUUCCCCAGAACCUCCAGGCAAGAGCCCAGCCCAGCCACCAUCUUGACUUCCGCGCGGGAGCCCCGAGCAGAGGACACAGUUGAGCCCCUCUGCGCCUGGACUUCUGCCCCACACAUCUGUGAUGCUUUCAGCCACUAAAGGUGGUGCUUUUAGCCACCAAAUCCGUGUAACAGCGUGUGCAGAAAACAAAUACAAACCUCACAUUUUCUCAGGGCCACCGUGCUCUAAAAGAGUUCUCUAAAAUCUUGGUUCCCGAGAGGUAAUAGCAACAAAAGACGAUUCACAUCCACUGCCUUCAAGAACUGGAUAGAGAGACUGACAUUACUACGUAACUCCCAAGGUCUGAUAUAGCCCGGGAGACCUUGCAGUUUCCUCCUUCAUCAUCGGGAGGCCAUUCGCUGACCUUGGAUGGAGGGAGAGCCACUGGAUGAGACAUACAAGGGCUAUGCUCACUCGCAGAGGCCAGGAGGCUGGAAGGCCCAGUCUCCCAGCAGUGCUGUCCUCAUAGCUGAUGUGAGCCGCUCCCUGCUGGGCUCAAGGAUGCAGCUACCUCCUGGCAUGAGAAAAGGGGCCCAUUGAAACCUAAAGAAUCUUUUUCUGCUUAAACCCCAACUGAGAUUAGAAAAGGCAGAAUGCCAUGGUAAGAGAAAAAAAGAAAGACCGAAAUCAUUAUCGGUAGACGCAAACAUCCCAUCUCAUGGGGAACAUACAGAAAGUAUCACCCUUUGAGCUCAAGACAAGGAUGCCCACUCACCACUUUAAUGGACUCUGCACUGACCGUCCUAGCUAAUGAAAUAAGGAAAGAAAAAAUAAAGGAACAAGAAAGUAGAAACAAAAGUGUAUCUAUGGAGACUAUAACUAUUCCCAUAGAAAGUCCAAGAAAUAGCCACAGACAUUAUUUGAAUAAAUGAGUUUAGCUAGGCUGCUGGAUACAAAAUCAAACAUAAAAAAAUCCAAUAUAUUUCUAUUAUCACAUCUAACAUAAAACAUAAAAUGAAAUUUAAUGAAAAAAACCCACCAUUAUAAGAACAUCAAAAAUAUGAAACUCUAUGAAUAAAUCCAAUAAAAGAUGUAUAUGUCCGUCAUGAAGAAAACACUGAGAAAUUAAAGACCCCAUUAAACACACACCAUGUUUAGGAACUGAAAGAUCAACACUGUACAAACAUCAAUUCUCUCAAGUCAGUCUAGAGAUUUUAUGCAAUCCCAAUCAAAAUCUCAACUUUUCUUCUAGAGUUGAGGGAUACAGAAUUUAGCAAGACAAUUCCAAUGUUAAUAUGGAAAUGGAAAGCAAGAGCCAAGGCAUUCUAGAUCACAGGUCAGCAAACUAAGACCAUGAGGCAGCUACCUGUUUUUAUAAAUAAAGUUUUAUCGAAACA